rnacentral:lncRNA from 1 species
ACAAAAAACUCGUCCUGUCAACACUCAGGUCGCCUCAUACAGUUUGAAACUUAAUUCUGUUUUUCAUUUAUUCCAUCAUUUUGGAGUUGAGAGAAUUUAUUUUUUAAUUAAACAAUUGGAAUAUAAAAGAAAGAGAAAAAUAUCUUAAAAACGAUGCCAAUAUGAGAAAAUAAAUCGAAAAAGAAUCGUCAGUUAUAAUAUGUAGAAAUUUCAAAAGAGAAUGAUUAUCUAACGAAGAAAAUUCUUCGAAGUUUUUCUAAAUAAUUUCAAAAUACCAAAAUCAAAAGGAAUAUCUUCAUUAACAGAAUAAAUAUCUUUAUUCUUGUAAGGAUCUCUAUAGUGUUUCUGAACUUGACGCAAAGAUAUAUUUAACGUUUCUGAAUGACAGGACUUCUAUGUGGUGCUUUGACCUGCUAGAAAUAGACAUCAGAUCUUCCAAUGUAGUCCUGGAUAUACUAUAUCUGAAAAUCAAGAUGGGAUGGUCACGACUGGGGAGUCUUUGACCAUAGAUUUGCUGGAUCAAGGCUGACCAGGGGCUGAAUAACAACGACUACAGCUACUUUCACCACUACAUCAAUAAUAUUAGAGAAAAACCAGGCGAAAGAAAGAAAGGACAGCAACCUAAACUUUGUGAAUUGUUUCUAUUCAAUUGAACUUGAAGACGUCAUUAGAUUGGAAUUUGGACCUUGCCAUCAUUUUGUUGGAGCUGAUAUAGGAAAUAUCCCGGAUUUUUAUUAAAAAAAAAAUGUCACACUCACUAACAACUGCUCAAAAUACUUUUCUUUUUAUCGCGAUCACUAAUUUGAUAUUUGGAUUAUUUUGGACGACUGUAACUUCGCAAAGUAACUCAAAGCAAAAUUUCUGUAAACAUACUUAUGUGACUGAGACGACAACGAAGUGCUUUUCUUGUGACACAGCACUUUCUGAAGCAUGUGGAAAAUAUCAACCUGUGCCAUCUUCGAAAGAGACAUGCACGUACUUUGAUUCUGGAACUGAAUUUCAGGGCUGCCAAUGGACGUGCAAACGUAAUGUUACCACACGUGUGUGCUGUCCUGGAUUUUGGGGAGACAGCUGCUUAGAAUGUCCAGGUGGCGCUGAUAACCCAUGUUAUGGAAAUGGCGUUUGUGCGGAUGGAAAAUGUACCUGUUAU